rnacentral:rRNA from 1 species
UACAGAGGUCCCAAGCGUUGUUCGGAUUCACUGGGCGUAAAGGGUGCGUAGGCGGUCGGGUAAGUCUGAUGUGAAAUCUCACAGCUUAACUGUGAAACUGCGUUGGAUACUAUCCGGCUAGAGGAAUGGAGGGGAGACUGGAAUACUUGGUGUAGCAGUGAAAUGCGUAGAUAUCGUAAGGAAGACCAGUGGCGAAGGCGGGUCUCUGGAAAGUGACUGACGCUGAGGCACGAAGGCCAGGGGAGCAAACGGG